GGCACGUACGGUGAAUAGGGACGGUCGGGGCCGCCCGUACCGGGUCGUGAGAGGUGAAAUUCUAGGAUCGACCCGAGACGAACCGCCGCGAAAGCAUUCGGCAAGGACGCUUCAUUAAUACAAGAACGAAAGUCGGGGGGAUCGAAGACGAUCAGAUACCGUCGUAGUCCCGACCGUAAACGAUGCCGACCGAGGGCCCGGAGGAGUUACGUACGACCCUCCGGGCCCUCCCGCGAGAAAUCAGGAGUAUUCGGGUUCCGGGGGGAGUAUGGUCGCAAGGCCGAAACUUAAAGGAAUUGACGGAAGGGCACCACCAGGAGUGGAAUCUGCGGCUUAAUUUGACCCCAACGCGGGGAAAACUCACCAGGUCAGGACACGGUAAGGAUUGACGGACUGAAGGC
rnacentral:rRNA from 1 species